GACGAACGCUGGCGGCGUGCUUAACACAUGCAAGUCGAACGGAAAGGCCCUGCUUUUGUGGGGUGCUCGAGUGGCGAACGGGUGAGUAACACGUGAGUAACCUGCCCUUGACUUUGGGAUAACUUCAGGAAACUGGGGCUAAUACCGGAUAGGAGCUCCUGCUGCAUGGUGGGGGUUGGAAAGUUUCGGCGGUUGGGGAUGGACUCGCGGCUUAUCAGCUUGUUGGUGGGGUAGUGGCUUACCAAGGCUUUGACGGGUAGCCGGCCUGAGAGGGUGACCGGCCCCAGUGGGAUGGGGGAGGGGCCAGGAGGCAAACGGGGGGAAGGGGGGGGGAAUUUUCGGAACUGGGCGGAGGCAGGAAGGAGGAACGCCGGGUGGGGGAAGACGGCCUUGGGGUUGGAACACGUUUUCGACUGAGACGAAGCGUGGUGACGGGAAAUGGUCAAAAAGGCACGGGUAACUACGUG
rnacentral:rRNA from 1 species